rnacentral:lncRNA from 1 species
UGGUGAUACCCCAUUUCAUUCCUGGUCGUGGCAUUUUGUUUUCUCUUUCCCUGUAUACCCCUUUCAGGAACGAAGGAUUCAUUUUUUCCAGUCUCUGGGAAUGACAUCUGCAGGUGGAUCCUCCCCCAGAAUUGACCUUGGACUGAUGGAACUGUCUUGCCUAGUCUGCACCCAAUGGGGAGGCUGAUAUGCGACUACAAAGUGGACAAGCUGGACCACUCC